ACUCCUACGGGAGGCAGCAGUGGGGAAUAUUGGACAAUGGGGGCAACCCUGAUCCAGCCAUGCCGCGUGUGUGAAGAAGGCCUUUUGGUUGUAAAGCACUUUAAGCAGGGAGGAGAGGCUAAUGGUUAAUACCCAUUAGAUUAGACGUUACCUGCAGAAUAAGCACCGGCUAACUCUGUGCCAGCAGCCGCGGUAAUAC
rnacentral:rRNA from 1 species